GCAACAGCCGAGCAUGCGCAGUCUCACCGAUAAUGGACAGAACGGUAUCGAGAGCUGCCUGCGGAAGCCGCGGCUGCAAACAAGGGAAGUUCUAGCGGCCCGGUGUCUUGCAGACCGCCCGACGGACCUGGUAGCCAACCCCUCUAGUUCGAUGGGAUCUGGCAGCCUGCCGUGCUGUCAUGGUGGCCAGAUGUUUGAGCAGCCUGGUGCCUUGAUGCCCACCCUGCGGACCUACUGAUCAGCUGAUCUAGCGAGCUGGUGUCUCGAUGCCCGCCCUACUGACCUGGUGGCCAGCUCUUCUUAUCGCCUCCUAUAGGCUGCUGAUCAUAAGAUCAUGCGUGCAUUAUGAAAUCACAGGACUUUCCGGCUGCUUUUGGUUUAAAGAACACGGGGACGUACAGCCGGGUCGAGUUCAGCCUACUAGUAUGCAAGAACGAACAGCACGAGAUCGACGUGGUCGUGCCGUGCUUACAUCAGUUGGGCAAAGACGAUGCUGACCUUUGAUGCGUCGUGGGAGCACAGACUGUACGCACUGGCCAGAAGCGGCUGUUCUAUAGCGGCCAGUUGUCUUACUGCCUCCCUGAGGACCUGGUGGCCAGGCCUUCCAGCAUGAUGGUGUCUGGCAGCCCGCCCUGAUGACCUGGUGGCAAGCUGCUUGAGCAGCCGGGUGCCUUGAUGCCCAGGAUCUACUGAUCAGCUGAUCUAGGGACAUGGUACCUCGGUGUCCGCUUUGCUGAUCUGGUGACCAGAUAUUCUGGCUGCGUGAUGUCUUGCUGUGCACCCUGUAGACCUGGUAGCCAGCUGCUCUUGUCGCCUCCUAAGCUGCUGAUCAUACGAUCACGGGAGAUCUCCGGGGCUUUUGGUUCGAGCACCGCGGGGACGAAGUGUCGGGCGAAGUUCCUCUUCCUGGAAGACGAGGCCAGCACCUGUCCAAAGAACACUGCCCUGUAGACGUCCAUGGGCACAUUUCCAUGAAGACCCGGGUGGGAGAGCGUCCCUUGCCGGCGCCUCGACCCAGUUCUCGACUCGCUGGCUGGACUCGAACACCGCCUCUGGUGGCAUGUUGUCCAGCGUCACAAGAUCGACCGCGGUGCGCAAGGUCGACCUGACUUCCGUAGCAGCGAGGUGAACAACAUCCCUUGCAGCACGAUGUCAGGCCACAUGUACCAUUUGCGAGCAACGUAGGCGACACAGUGCUCCAGCCUUGCCGGUGACAUCAACACUCUGUGCUGUCAUCGUGAAGUCGGCUGCUCCACUUUGGAUUUUGGUUGGCCAGGAUGUCCAGCAGGUUCCAGAGCAGCGUGGCUCAACGGAAGUGGCGAUGAUGGCGAGGAUCUCCCAAACACGGACUUCGGCGAAUCCCUCGAUUUGGAGCAACCUGCUGCGCGGGCCACGGGACAGCCGCUGACCCCGACUGGAGAGUUUUAGCUCGAUCGCAAGGUCUCGAACCGGCGUCAAGGCAGCCACAUUCACUGUCACGACGACGUGGCCAUUCGCACCGUUGCUGAAAAUUACGACAAACGCGUGGUUCCGCACACAAAAAUAAAGUUUGAAAACACCGCUGACCAGAAGCCCAGAAGACGAAGACAACGACGACGUGUAACGCCCAUGACGUGCAAGAUCGCUCACACUUCACGUACCACGGCUCGAACUAAUAAGUGUCUGCGGGGUAGGUCCUCACUAGGCUGAGGAGAGAUUGAGGUGGGUCAUCGAAAUAGAGCACCGAUAACACGGCGACUUACCGAGUUAUAGAAGUGAUAGAGGCAGAGGAAAGACAAGGAGUGGAAUGUUGGUGAAUGCAUGAAUAUCUGAACGGAAAACCACGUACGAGUGCAAAACUUGGCGAUGUUCACAGGAGCGCAUGCUAUUCGCCUGCUGUGUUUUUUUCCAACCCACCAAGGUGGUUCAGGACCAUUUUAAACCUGUGACACAUAACGCACCUUCUGUAUACUGCGCCGUUUGCGGCUUCUAAAUUCAAAUUUGUGCAGGUAAAACGUUAUAAGCUAUAUUCGUGGAAGCCAAGUUUUGGUUUUGAAUAGCUCAGGAAUCUAAUUACCAACUACAGCGCUAAAUAUCUUUACUCACAAAUUCUACUAUCUUUAGUACAAGUUUGCACUACAUAGCGUGAAAUCAAAAUUCUACGAAUUUAGAACUGUUUUUGAGAAUUGCAGGUUUAAGUACUCCGAAGUACUGUUCGUUUCAGUGGUUGGUGCUUUGAACAGCAAACUCGUCAAAGUAGGUAUCUGAAAACUGCAGCCAUGGACAACGAAGCCUGGAGUGAGACACGUAACUUCCCCUGCAGUAUUUACAGUGCGUAUUCACAUGGCACAGGAUGGGUAUGUUAGAGAAAAUGAGGGAUGCCUUAUCGCGUGCCGCUCCCAACUGGCAUAUGUGUGCAAUCGCCGUAUAACAAUCAAUCAAUCAAUCAAUCAGUCAGUCAGUCAGUCAGUCAGUCAGUCAGUCAGUCAGUCAGUCAGUCAGUCAGUCAGUCAGUCAGUCAGUCAGUCAGUCAGUCAGUCAGUCAGUCAGUCAGUCAGUCAGUCAAUCAAACAUGCUUGUUUUGCAGGAAGUACACAAAACUUCCCUGUGGGAGGCAGACUAAAGGCGAGAAAGCCUGACGAGGUAUUGGCCCCCUGAAGGUUCAGCCACUCGAAUGCACGCAUGCAUUGCAUGUACUUUCGGGCUGUCUUGUGGCUUUAUCGCGUGCUUUUCUUUUGGGUGCUCCUUCCUCUUGGUAAGAACAGGUGUGCGUGGUGAUUAGCCCAACGCUUUGUUAAUGCUGUUUGAAGUUUCUGCCUCUAGAAUCGCUGCUUCCUUCCCUCGUGCAGCUACCGUCUUCAAGCUCUUACGGACGCUCUUCACGAUUUACGAGUCGCCGCUAAGACGUUCUGAAAGUGUUUCGAUUUCCUUGCCAUUGUUAAUUUCGACGUACGUGACGCAAAAUCACAUCCAUAACCUAUUUUCGUCCUCACUGCGUCGUGUGCGCAUGUGCACUGCAUAAACUAAAGGGUGAGA